UACAGGGGGGGCAAGCGUUGUUCGGAAUUACUGGGCGUAAAGGGUCUGUAGGUGGCCAACUAAGUCAGACGUGAAAUCCCUCAGCUUAACUGGGGAACUGCGUCUGAUACUGGAUGGCUUGAGUGUGGGAGAGGAAUGCGGAAUUCCAGGUGUAGCGGUGAAAUGCGUAGAUAUCAGGAGGAACACCUGUGGUGUAGACGGCUUUCUGGACCGUAGCUGACGCUGAGACACGAAAGCGUGGGUAGCAAACAGG
rnacentral:rRNA from 1 species